UACGGAGGGGGCUAGCGUUGUUCGGAAUUACUGGGCGUAAAGCGCACGUAGGCGGCUUUGUAAGUUAGAGGUGAAAGCCCAGGGCUCAACCCUGGAAUUGCCUUUUAAGACUGCAUCGCUUGAACAUCGGAGAGGGUAGCGGAAUUCCCAGUGUAGCGGUGAAAUGCGUAGAUAUUGGGAGGAACAUCGGUGGCGAAGGCGGCUACCUGGACGGGUACUGACGCUGAUGCGCGAAAGCUAGGGGAGCAAACAGG
rnacentral:rRNA from 1 species